UGGUCAGGUCGAGUAGACCAAGGCGCUUGAGAGAACUCUGCUGAAGGAACUAGGCAAAAUGGUACCGUAACUUCGGGAGAAGGUACGCUGUUGUUGGUGAUGGAACUCGCUUCCUGAGCUGACGACAGCCGCAGAAACCAGGCCGCUGCAACUGUUUAUUAAAAACAUAGCACUCUGCAAACACGAAAGUGGACGUAUAGGGUGUGAUGCCUGCCCGGUGCUGGAAGGUUAAUUGAUGGGGUUAGCGUAAGCGAAGCUCUUGAUCGAAGCCCCAGUAAACGGCGGCCGUAACUAUAACGGUCCUAAGGUAGCGAAAUUCCUUGUCGGGUAAGUUCCGACCUGCACGAAUGGCAUAAUGAUGGCGGCGCUGUCUCCAGCAGAGGCUCAGUGAAAUCGAAAUCGCUGUGAAGAUGCAGUGUACCCGCGGCUAGACGGAAAGACCCCGUGAACCUUUACUGCAGCUUGACACUGAACUUUGACCUUACUUGUGUAGGAUAGGUGGGAGGCUUUGAAGCUGGAACGCUAGUUCCAGUGGAGCCGUCCUUGAAAUACCACCCUGGUAAUGUUGAGGUUCUAACUCUGUCCCGUGAUCCGGGACGAGGACCGUGUCUGGUGGGUAGUUUGACUGGGGCGGUCUCCUCCUAAAGAGUAACGGAGGAGUACGAAGGUGCGCUCAGCGUGGUCGGAAAUCACGCGUAGAGUAUAAAGGCAAAAGCGCGCUUAACUGCGAGACCCACAAGUCGAGCAGGUACGAAAGUAGGUCUUAGUGAUCCGGUGGUUCUGUAUGGAAGGGCCAUCGCUCAACGGAUAAAAGGUACUCUGGGGAUAACAGGCUGAUACCGCCCAAGAGUUCAUAUCGACGGCGGUGUUUGGCACCUCGAUG
rnacentral:rRNA from 1 species